rnacentral:lncRNA from 1 species
CUGUAACACCCCCUUCCCGAAAAGGAAAGGGAGGUCACGUACAAAGCACAACAAACCUCAAAAUAAAUAAACAGAGCACUAAUAACUUCAAAAUAUUAAUAACGAUAUCCAUCAAUGAAGUACUAAAUAUAAUUCUCCAACUAGAAUCAAAAUAAUCAAAAAAAAAAAAAUCAAAAUCACCUAGAUGGUCAAAGACAACUCUCUCAUCACACUAGCCCUGAAUCACCCCUGCAAACCUGCCGGAAGAAAAAUACAGUAUGAGCCAAUUGCCCAGUACGGAUACAGAUAUACAAAAGAUAUACAACUGAUAUACGAAAAUAACUGAGACAAAAUACUGAACAAA